AUACGUAGGUGGCAAGCGUUGUCCGGAAUUAUUGGGCGUAAAGAGCGCGUAGGCGGUUAUGCAAGUCAGUCUUAAAAGUUCGAGGCUUAACCUCGUGAUGGGAUUGAAACUGUGUAACUGGAGUAUCGGAGAGGCAGGCGGGAUUCCUAGUGUAGGGGGGAAAUGCGUAGAUAUUAGGAGGAACACCAGUGGCGAAGGCGGCCUGCUGGACGACAACUGACGCUGAGGCGCGAAAGCGUGGGGAGCAAACAGGAUUAGAUACCCUGGUAGUCCACGCUGUAAACGAUGAAUACUAGGUGUGGGGGGACUGACCCCCUCCGUGCCGCAGUUGACACAAUAAGUAUUCCACCUGGGGAGUACGAUCGCAAGAUUGAAACUCAAAGGAAUUGACGGGG
rnacentral:rRNA from 1 species